UCGACCUUUUGUGGGAAAUAUACAUCGUUUACACAUGCUUAUACUUGGAUACGCAUACUCGUUUAUUACUUGAUUCGUGAUUCUCUUAAACGUGUACUUAACUCGUAACCAACUCGUGAAUUCGUGACACUUAAACGUUCCAUACAUAUAAAACAUUUAAUUAAUCAAAACGAGACUUAUACUUAAUUAGCACUUCAUUCUAUGUUUUAACACAUUUAUUAAACACCUAUGUUACUAAUUAGAACAUUCUAGGUCUUGUAGGUGUUGUUACACAUUAAACUGUAUAUAAUACUUUAAUUAUGCACCUAAAACCUACUUAUAUAUUAAAAAAAAAAGGAUAGAAAAAAAUAUAUAUAUAUGGGCUGUUAACAGCCCCUUGCGGCUGGACUCACAACCAAACACCAAAAUCUUUUUUUUGAUUAAGUGUUAAAAACCCCAAUACUUGCAUGUUGACAUUCUUUAAUUUCACGUUGAUUAAGCAAUGCACAUUAUAAACCCAUGAUAUAAACUACAAUUGUGUGUCUUAUAAAGUUAAAAGUAUAUAUAUAUAAAUCAUAAUAUAUGUAAUCAGCCUACCAACUUGCGGCCGCAAGUGGUAGGGCUGAAUUGUUUGUUUGUUGUUUCAAAUAAGUAAUCACCAUCAUGCACAUUAAUUCAUCAUCGAUAUUUUUAAUAUGCAUACCAUACUUUGCCAACAUUUAAUGUAAUGUUCAACAACAAAAGAAAUAGUAGAAUCUAGGCAGUUUACAGCCAUGAUCGGAUAGCCUCAUGGCUUGUCUAAUUGUUUCUUUUUAUUCAUUUCAACAACCAACAACUUAACAUUAAUGCCAACUACUAACCAAACCUAAUUACAAAAGUUAUCCAAACCCUAAUCCCCAUUUAUUUUGAUCGGCCGCCCCUCAUGAUCUUUCCCUCCCAAGUACACCCUUACAUCUCUGCAACAUAUUCAAAACCCUUAUCCACCCUCCAUGUUUUACACAACAACCACAUAAGAUCAUCCUUGACACCCUCAUACACUCUUCCUCGUUUUCACUUCACACCACAGCCAUGUACCCGCCGGAGAAACGGGCUUCACGGUUGCCGUAACCGCAGUCGGAACAAGUAGCUCUCAUCGAAAUCGCUUGCUGGAAUCGGUGUUUUUACGUCGAACCCGAAUCUUCAUUCGUUUCGGUAUAUACUUCUUAUCCAUUUUGUUUUGAUCUUCUGUCAACCUAGCGGCCUUUGUUCCUUUCAUUUGUUAAACCUUCUGUGACAACCACUUUGGUAGAUAAAAAUGUGUAACAGACAAAGAAAAGUCGUCGGAGUUUUACGACGGGGAUCGCGCCGCACGUAUUCGGUAUACCUUACACCUUAAACCCAUUCCGCGACCUCGUAAAGAAAGAAAGAAAGAAACACUCUCUCUCUUUAACUACACUUUCGCCGGUGAUCGGAGUUUCGCCGGAGCCGUACGGUGCUUGCCGGGAAAUAUCGAACACUGCCGGAGUCUUAUAUUCCCACGCGCUUCGAAAGGAUAAACACUUACGUUCAUUCUCUUGGAAUUCUCCAUCCUUACUCGUGCGUUAUUUCAAGGAAUUCUUAUACGCGAUCAAUGUUGAUGAUGAUGAAAUGAAAACGGAUAGCAAAGAUGCCUAGAUACUCAC